rnacentral:lncRNA from 1 species
ACGUCGGUGGAGAGCGUUUCGUGUACUACUACGUUGCAUUUGCACGGCGAAUCAAGGUCAGCAAGCUGCGCUCCUUGCGUCAGGAGGAGGACCCGGCGGAGGGCGAAGCAUUCAACGCUGCCAUGGUGAACGCCUUCUACAAGUGGACGGAAAACAAAAUCUAUAUCCCGGCAGGCAUCAUGCAACAGCCCUUCUUUGACCCCGGACUACCCAAGUA